rnacentral:rRNA from 1 species
GUGCCAGCAGCCGCGGUAAUACCGGCAGUCCGAGUGAUGGCCGAUCUUAUUGGGCCUUUAGCGUCCGUAGCUGGCUGAACAAGUCCGUUGGGAAAUCUGUCCGCUUAACGGGCAGGCGUCCAGCGGAAACUGUUCAGCUUGGGACCGGAAGACCUGAGGGGUACGUCUGGGGUAGGAGUGAAAUCCUGUAAUCCUGGACGGACCGCCGGUGGCGAAAGCGCCUCAGGAGAACGGAUCCGACAGUGAGGGACGAAAGCUAGGGUCUCGAACCGGAUUAGAUACCCGGGUAGUCC